CCUACGGGUGGCAGCAGUGAGGAAUAUUGGUCAAUGGCCGGAAGGCUGAACCAGCCAAGCCGCGUGAGGGAGGAAGGCGCAGAGCGUCGCAGACCUCUUUUGCCGGGGGACAAAAGGCCGGACUCGUCCGGUCCUGAGGGUACCCGGAGAAAAAGCAUCGGCAAACUCCGUGCCAGCAGCCGCGGUAGUACGGAGGAUGCGAGCGUUAUCCGGAUUCAUUGGGUUUAAAGGGUGCGCGGGGGGGCCUUUAAGCCGGCGGUGAAAUCGCGGGGCUCAACCCCGCCGAGCCGUCGGAACUGGGGGGCGUGAGUGCGGCGGAGGGAGGCGGAAUGCGAGGUGUAGCGGUGAAAUGCAUAGAUAUCGCGCAGAACCCCGAUGGCGAAGGCAGCGGGCCGUGCCGCGACUGACGCUGAGGCACGAAAGCGCGGGGAUCGAACAGGAUUAGAUACCCCAGUAGUC
rnacentral:rRNA from 1 species